rnacentral:sRNA from 1 species
UGGUAGCGCCCGACCAUCAGGUGGUCUG